rnacentral:rRNA from 1 species
GACGAGAGGUGCAAAUGUUAUUCAUCAUGACUGGACGUAAAGGGCGGGUAGCUUGAAUAGUAGGUUAGAAAUAAAAGAUUGGAUUUCAAUUCCUAUAAUAUGUUUAAAACUAUUAUUCUAGAGUAUGAAAUAUAGUAUAUGUAUUCUUAAUGGAGAGGUGGCAUUUUUAGAUAUUAAGAGGACAGACAAUAGGCGAAAGCUUAUAUUAGUUUUAUACUGACAGUGAUUUCUGCUAAAGCACAGGGAGCAAACAGG